GAAAUGCGAUACUUGGUGUGAAUUGCAGAAUUCCGCGAGUCAUCAGAUCUUUGAACGCAAAUGGCGCUCGGUUAAACAAUACCCGAGCAUGUUUGUUUCAGUGUGUACGGAAUCAUAUAUCUAAAUGCGAUUGAAUUUUAACUCUUCUCUCGUUAAAUAUGAAAGCGCUGAAUUGUUCAGUGCCAACCGAAGUAGUCACUUCUCAGCAAGUGAUCUCGGUUUGGCAUAACUGAUAAUUCACUUAAAGCGUCUUUGUUAAUAUAUUUAUUAUUCUCCACUCCACACCUGAAAUCAAGCAAGAUCACCCGCUGAACUUAA
rnacentral:misc_RNA from 1 species